GGUAAAGCCGGGGCACCUGGAGCUGCCGGCCCCCCCCGGGGAGAAGGGAGACAGGGGUCCCCAGGGCCACCCAGGCAGCCGUGGACAGGACGGGGCACAGGUACGUUGCUGGGUCGGGCCCCCCCGGGCCGCAGCCCCCCGUGCCCCCCCCCUGCCAGGCCGUCUCCUUUCUGUGUUUCAGGGCGAGCCGGGCCCCAGGGGCGAGCCGGGCGAGAAGGGCACUUGGGGGGAGGGUUUGCACCAGCUCCGCGAGGCGCUGAAGAUUUUAGCGGAGAGGGUUUUAAUCUUGGAAACAAUGAUUGGGCUCUACGGUGAGUAGGGGGGGGGGCCAGCCUGGGCCACGGGCGGGGACGGGGACCCCCGGGGUGGCCCCCACUCCAUGGGGUGGCCCCCAUCCCCGCUGGCAGGUCACCAGGCCCCCAUGACGUCACGGCGGCCCUCGGCUCGCUGACGUCAUGGAGCUGCGGGGAGGGGUCCUUCGGCACCCCCUCCCCUCCGCCGCCUGGGCACCGGGGGGGGGGGGGGGGGGGGCGCAGGGGGUCAGCCUCGCCCCGGCUGCGGUGUGAUGUCAUCAGCCGUGCAUGACGUCACCACCCACACUGCGACAUCGUGGCCAGCACCGGGGACCGCUCAUAGGGCGAGGGUCGCCGGGGCCCCCCCUGCCUGCACCCAUGGCUGGGGCACCCCAGGAACACCCCCCCGCCCCCCGGGCACUGCCCGGGGUGCCCACCUCGAGCAGGGACACCCGUGACAGUCUCCGUCUUGGGGACAAGCCGGUGGCCCCCCGGGCAGGUUGGGGACAUGUCCGUCCCCCCCACCAUGUGUCCAGGGGCUCGACGUGCUGGGGGGGGGGGGGGGGCAGAGGGAGCACCCCGCUGGGACUUGCCUGGGCAGGGGACAGCCGUGUCCCCAUCAGGACACCGGUGGGGACAUCGAGGCAGCCGCGGCUGCUGUAGGGUCAGCGCAAGGGACCCCCGGCCCCCCCCCCCGGACCCACAGGGAUGGGGGACCCCCUCGCAUCCCCCUGGGGCCACCACGGGAGCCCCCGGCACCCCUCUGAAAGCGGGAGGAGCACCCUCCCGGGAGACCUGGCACCCCCCCCCCCCCCCCCCCCCCCCAUCGCACCGGCACCCCCUGCCCGCCAGGGCUGCACCCACGCUAUGCCACCCACGCCGUGCUACGCCGCCCGUGCCGUGCCGUGCCGUGCCGUGCCGUCCCCGCCGCGGCGGCGAACGCGCGCUCUGCUCUGCUCUCUCACUCUCCCCCAGGCCAGUAGCUUCCAAACCCUCCUGCGGCAGCAGGCCCGGCUGGAGGUCCUGGCUAGAAGGGUCACCUUGCUGGAAGCCAUCAUCUGGCCAGAACCAGAGCCCGGCUCAGGCAGCGGCCCCCCCCGGCACGGUGGCACCCGGACCCCCCCGCAGCAAGCGGGGUGGCAGCAACCAGCCCCCUUACCGCAUCGUGGCCCCCCACCGGCGCCCCCCCGGCAAGCAGUGACGGAUCCUGGAGUGGGGGGGGGGUCACCCGCUGUUACCCGCCCCCCCCCCAACCCUGCGCCCACCGCCGUGCCGGUACGGGCAGGAGCGUCGCCCUGGGGGAGGGGGGGCACGAUGGGGGUCACCCCCCCCCCCCCAGCCCCCUGGUCCCGCAGGGCACUUGGUGCUAGCCGGUAGCACGGCACCGGCCCCCCCCCCCUCUCUGCUUUGCCCCCCAUCGCUGCUGCUUGAACCCCCCCCCCCCGGGGGGCGUGGGGGGGCAAAAGGGUGUCAGGACCCCCCCCCUGCCCCUUUUCUGCCCCCACCCCAAUGUGCAGCUCUGGGGGUGCUUCAUUUCUUCCCCAGCCCGAGCCCCCGCGGCCACCCCUGCCCCGGGGAAGGGACCCCGGGGGGGGCCGGCGGUGGGGACCCCCCCCCCCCCAGCUUCGUCCCGCUGCUUUGGGACCCUCGAGGGUCAUUAAACGUCUCUUGAACCCGUG
ensembl:lncRNA